GAAAUAUUCAAGAAAAAUGUACUCGAUGCUUUCACAGUGUUUUCCAUGAUCAAAAGCGAAAUGUUCCAUGGAGAAUUCCAGUAUUAACUGCCAGCUUGUGUAGCAUCCCCUUGGUGGACCACUGGAAAAUUGGGACUUCUGAUGUGUACAACCUGCUGUGCAGAAACGCUCCAGGGCCUCGGAGUUCACUGGCCUCAGGGCAGUCCACCAGUCUGUCUGCUAUUGCGCUGCAGUGAAGGAGGGUGUUGCAGGACCCCAUGCAUUGGGGUUGUCGUUGUGGAUCACGCCUGGACAAGUGCUAGCAGUGCCACGAAGCAGAAGCAGCUGUACUGCACUGAAGAACCUCGUCUCCCAGAAGACUGGAUGUGUUAGCAGGCUGACUUUCUCCUUUUCAAGAAAAAAGCUCAGGUGUCAUCUCCCUGGAAUUCAUUACCUGGCUGCUGUAAUGUGUCUGUCUUCCAUCAGCAGUUGCAUUGAGAAUAUUGAUAAACAUUAAUCUUAUUUUUGGUACACGUAGCCACUGCAGGAAGGAUGCUUGCCUCAGCUGCAUAGUAACUGCUACAUCUCUGAAGUGUUUGCUGAACACCUCACUGGCUUGAGGAUGUGGCUGGAUUCGAUGUUCAGGGAUCUUGUGUAAUAAAUAUGAAAGUCCACUAAAUGUAAUGCA
rnacentral:lncRNA from 1 species